AUUGAACGCUGGCGGCAGGCCUAACACAUGCAAGUCGAACGCGUGGCGGACGGGUGAGUAAUGUCUGGGACACUGCCUGAUGGAGGGGGAUAACUACUGGAAACGGUAGCUAAUACCGCAUACCAUCGGAUGUGCCCAAGUGGGAUUAGCUAUUAGUUGGGUGAAAGGCUCACCUAGGCGACGAUCCCUAGCUGGGCUGAGAGGAUGACCAGCCACACUGGAACUGAGACACGGUCCAGACUCCUACGGGAGGCAGCAGUGGUGAAUAUUGCACAAUGGGCGAAAGCCUGAUGCAGCCAUGCCGCGUGUAUGAAGAAGGCCUUCGGGUUGUAAAGUACUUUCAGCGGGGAGGCGUUACCCGCAGAAGAAGCACCGGCUAACUCCGUGCCAGCCGCCGCGGUAAUAC
rnacentral:rRNA from 1 species